rnacentral:rRNA from 1 species
ACGCUGGCGGCAUGCUUUACACAUGCAAGUCGGACGGCAGCGGGGUAGUGCUUGCACUACUGCCGGCGAGUGGCGAACGGGUGAGUAACAUAUCGGAACGUACCGAGCAGUGGGGGAUAACUAAUCGAAAGAUUAGCUAAUACCGCAUAUCUUCUGAGGAAGAAAGCAGGGGACCUUUGGGCCUUGCGCUGUUUGAGCGGCCGAUAUCUGAUUAGCUGGUUGGUGGGGUAAAGGCCUACCAAGGCGACGAUCAGUAGCGGGUCUGAGAGGAUGAUCCGCCACACUGGGACUGAGACACGGCCCAGACUCCUACGGGAGGCAGCAGUGGGGAAUUUUGGACAAUGGGGGCAACCCUGAUCCAGCCAUGCCGCGUGUCUGAAGAAGGCCUUCGGGUUGUAAAGGACUUUUGUCCGGGAAGAAAAGCGCGAUGUUAAUACCAUUGCGUGCUGACGGUACCGGAAGAAUAAGCACCGGCUAACUACGUGCCAGCAGCCGCGGUAACACGUAGGGUGCGAGCGUUAAUCGGAAUUACUGGGCGUAAAGCGGGCGCAGACGGUUACUUAAGCAGGAUGUGAAAUCCCCGGGCUCAACCUGGGAAUUGCGUUCUGAACUGGGUGGCUAGAGUGUGUCAGAGGGGGGUAGAAUUCCACGUGUAGCAGUGAAAUGCGUAGAGAUGUGGAGGAAUACCGAUGGCGAAGGCAGCCCCCUGGGAUGGCACUGACGUUCAUGCCCGAAAGCGUGGGUAGCAAACAGGAUUAGAUACCCUGGUAGUCCACGCCCUAAACGAUGUCAAUUAGCUGUUGGGCAACUUGAUUGUUCAGUAGCGUAGCUAACGCGUGAAAUUGACCGCCUGGGGAGUACGGUCGCAAGAUUAAAACUCAAAGGAAUUGACGGGGACCCGC